GAGUUUGAUCUUGGCUCAGGAUGAACGCUGGCGGCGUGCCUAAUACAUGCAAGUCGAGCGAACGGACGAGAAGCUUGCUUCUCUGAUGUUAGCGGCGGACGGGUGAGUAACACGUGGAUAACCUACCUAUAAGACUGGGAUAACUUCGGGAAACCGGAGCUAAUACCGGAUAAUAUUUUGAACCGCAUGGUUCAAAAGUGAAAGACGGUCUUGCUGUCACUUAUAGAUGGAUCCGCGCUGCAUUAGCUAGUUGGUAAGGUGACGGCUUACCAAGGCAACGAUGCAUAGCCGACCUGAGAGGGUGAUCGGCCACACUGGAACUGAGACACGGUCCAGACUCCUACGGGAGGCAGCAGUAGGGAAUCUUCCGCAAUGGGCGAAAGCCUGACGGAGCAACGCCGCGUGAGUGAUGAAGGUCUUCGGAUCGUAAAACUCUGUUAUUAGGGAAGAACAUAUGUGUAAGUAACUGUGCACAUCUUGACGGUACCUAAUCAGAAAG
rnacentral:rRNA from 1 species